UGUUGCGGUGAUCACUUUGCC
rnacentral:misc_RNA from 1 species